UAGCACAGAGUAGGUAAUAUAGGUUAUUGGUUUUACUGAUUUAUUUACAAAUUUGCUUACUUUUAUACUUUUAUAUUACUUUUAUAUUUAAGUUAUUAAGCAAGAAACUGUUUGUUUUACCUACAGCAAAAAAAACGUUUAAAAUCUACUCAAUAAAAGGGGACUCAACCAACACUUUUAUAACAAAAUGAAAAUAUUGAAAUAUAUGUUAUUCCGUACACGCACUAGGGGUCGUACUUCUAAUAGAUCAAUUAGUUUUGGCUUAGCGCCUGUACAAGCCGUAAAUAUUAUCCGUUCUCACUUGUUUAUUUUUUAUACCGUUAAUAAAGGUAUAUCAAAUACUAGAAUAUACCGAUGAAGAUGUUGUUAUAUAUGCUGCUAUCGUUGUUAACGUGUUGCUAAUUAUUAUGAUGAUUGUUAUCAUUGUAGCACUAUAUCGGAAAAUUGUAAUAUUACUUAAAUUUUGUGUAUAUUUCUUACUAUUUAGUAUAAUUUUAUUGUUUGUGAAUAUUAUUACUGUUAUAAUGACCGGUCAUAACCUGAGAGUCAUACUUAUGGUAUUUAGUAUUGUUACUGUCUAUAUCCUUGCGUGUUUGACAAGGAGCGCUUAUUUGGAUAUAGAAGAAGCCGGACAACUAAAUACAAACAGUUCACAAUCUAUUCAAUAAAACUAUACCUAUAUAAUUAACCCUUAAAUAUAAUCUACACAUAAUUAUAUGCACUCACGACCUUAAUCCCCGAAGGGGUAGUUAGAGGUGGCUCACAA